GCCAGGUGUAGUGGUGCAAGCCUGUAGUCCCAGCUACUCUGGAGGCUGAGACAGGAGGAUCACUUGCAUCCUUGAGUUCUGGGCUGUAGUGCACUAUGCCAAUCCGGUGUCUGCACUAAGUUCAGCAUCAAUUUGGAGACCUGCCAGGAGUGGGGAACCACCAGGUUGCCUAAGGAAGAGUGAAGAAGCCCAGGUCAGAAACAGAGCAGGUCAAAACAGAUGAAUGGAAAAAGAAAUGUGGUACCUUUACACAAUAGAAUAUUAUUCCACCAUUUAAAAAAAUGAGAUUUUCA
ensembl:misc_RNA Metazoa_SRP Metazoan signal recognition particle RNA